UUCCCGGGCUCUGGACCUGCCGCGCCGUGUUCCCGCGGGGGCUCCUCGGGGCGCGCGAGCCGGUGGACUGGCUCUAGGCGCGAGAUCCCGCGAGAGCAGGAGCUGGAGGCUUUUCCCGAAGGCGGGAGCGGAGCGUGGGUGGAGCGUGGCGGAAGGUGGCUGCAGUUAUCAAGAGAGCAGAGAGAAGACUCCUAGAAAGAAGCUGUGGUGACCAGUGCUUCCUGGAAGGCUGUGGGCCUGCUGUCCGAGUUCACACACACUUCAGGAACACCCUUGCGUCCUGAGAAGCUUCCCAGUGUCAGAACCAGAAAUAGAACUCAUGGCCGCAUUAACCACUGUCUGUGAGAGGCUAAAAAUCAGUCGGGAAGGAAAGAAGAAAGUCCUGUUUCCUGAAACGUCUCAAUCACCUACACUGCCUAAAUUGUCACUGAAGUGUAUUUCAGAAUAUGACACAGUACUGGAUAAAUGAGGAAGGCGACGCAGAUCGGAAGGGCUCGGCGCUGUGCAGAGAUGAGCAGAGUCCAUUUGAAAAACUUAUUCAGGAAUAAUGCGUCUGAAAGGAAACAAAGAUGAGACCUUUUGUUGUCAGUUUUUCUUCCUGGCGUCCUCGGUGAGAAAAGGCUGGGUCGUUGAGACCAGAUGAAAACAAAAUUAUGAAUAAAGACAAGUUGUCAGUCUGCCUCCCUGGUAUUUUGAACAGCUUGAACUACUGGAGCCGGUUUCCCGUCCUUGUCGCCGGUUUACUGCUCCUGAAGAAAGAGUCGAAUCGUGAUGCUCUCAGAGGCCUUAGGAACGCACCUUCUGGCUGGCGCCCAGGCCGUGGAAACAUUCGCUGCUCUUCAUCCUCGAGCUGCAUUUUGUCUCCAGGGAAGCAGGCCAGAAAAUGAAGGAAGCUGGUCAGAUGGGAGCCAGAAGAAGCCGCUGGAAGAUGCGGUGGGCACCCUGAGAGGCUGGUCCCAGAGAAGGAGGCUGACCUGCGGACAGAGACAGAGAUGAGAGAGAGGACCUGGCGGCACUCACAUCCCCGGCGCAGCUGCCCCUGAUGACAAUUGUGUUGUCAGCCCUCUGCCCGUUUGCUCUCCUGAGCCAGUGGAUGCCUACGUUAGUUCUAAUUGGGUUUCUGCCAUUUGCAACAAGAGUCCUGACGAACAUGACUGUGAUGAGGCAGAACAGACUUCAACUAGAUUCUCUUCCUGCAGCUUCCACGCCGCCUCCUCCAAACCCCAAUAUCGGCAUGCCCUCCGUGGGGUCCUCGGGUCAUGUCAUUGACACUGACGCUACGAGAGAAGCUGUGCCACGGGCAGGUCUCCGGUUUUCUCCUUGGUUCUCCUGAUUUAUGUCACCUGAUCAUCCCAGGCUGGCAUUUCUGGUCAAAAAAGCUAAGCACACAGGUGGACUCGGGCUCAGCCGCUCUGGACUGAAGUAGGUUGUUGAGACCUCACAUGUUUAGAAGUGGCUGGAACACUGCUGUUGUCCCCUUUUCCCCCUAAGAGUCAUCAAAAUUGAAGAAGGAUUUUUUCCUAGUAUGAGUUGUCAUGGUCUUCCGGAAGCGCUAAUUUUGGAACUGCAUUCAGCUCUUUUGGUUUAACUGCAUCCUUCGCUCAUGUUAGUCACUGGAAUAAGGCGGCCCAUUCUUCGUGAAGGACAGGAAGUGCUGCUUUGCUCUUCAGAAUUCACAUAUGUGCUACCAUGACAUGUUCCAGCAGCUCUUAAAAUCCUGAGUCCAUUCCGUUUGUUUUCGGGAAAAUCCUGGUUAUUUUGGUAUCAAAGAGUCCUGACCCAAAUCCUUAUUCCCAAAUAACAUUACUUAAAAGUUGAUUUAUACUGAAAAAGUAUUUGUGUAUCUAUAUACAUACAGUGAUAUAGUAUGUGUAUAAUUAAUAUGGACUUUACGUCUAAUAAAUGGCAAGAUUUUUUUGCAUAGAAAUAUGACACUGAAUUAAAUGACUUUUUUCAAGCCCCGUAAUUCGAAUUAUAUUUGUCAUAAUAGUUCCCUAUGAUUGAGAAGUCCUUUUUAACUCUAUUCACCUUAGAGGUGAAGAAUUCAUUAAAAAGUCAGGUAAACAUUCAUAGGCUAAAGGAUUCACAACGAGAAAACAUCUCUGCUUAGUCGUCCUAGACCACUUGGAGAUGGUCGUUGUCAUUGAACUAAUUGGCAAAACAGCAAUAACAACAAAUACCCACUUAAUAUAAAUAUUCAGUGAGGGACAUUGAAGACAAAACCAAUGAGAGCCAUCAUUCAGUUCAGAGAGGGACCCAAGUUACCGUGACGAUUUUAAAAAGGUCAGGUUCAAUUCUGCUUGUGUUCUCAUGGGCCUGCGAUGCUGUGUGACGGGAUUCAGGGCGACGUUUGUUAGCAAUCCCCUUUUCCUCACCAUGCUCACAGCUCCUGUUGCCAUCAAUAGAGGCCUGACAGGCAAUGAAGGCAGAAGCCCAGCACAGUGACAGGGCAGGACCUCUGCCUCGUCGGUCCUGGCUUCUGGGCGCUCCGUGAAUGUGUGGUGUUGAUUUUUUUUGGCCGAGUCACCUGACUUCUCCAGUCCUGGCUCAGGAAAUGUGACGGGCUGGGAGGCGUGCCUUUGGCUCAUGAGCUGUGUGUGUUACAAGUGCCCUUUGUUUUAUUUUUACUGUACAAAGCACAAAGUGUCAUGUAAUUACAAGGCUCGAUUAUUUAUACUCUGAGGCUAAAGAAGUAAUAGGCGCAGAUUAGGCAUCUACCCCCAUUUGACAGACGAGAAGCCUGAGACUUCGAGAGAUUAAGUAGCUUCCCCUCCACCUGCAGCUCGUGAACAGGACCAGGAUUUGAAGCCAGAGAGCACAGAUACAAGACCAGGAGACGAGGGUAAGUGCGAUUAUGUCACCCUACUUAUCACUUUUCAUCAGGGAUCAGGGAGGAGACCCACAUUCGGCCCACUUACAGGCCUCCGUAACGUUAUGUUUUCUCUUCCCUAUUAGAAGAGAGUAAUUGUCCACACUCUUAUUUGGAGUCAAGCGCUCCACUUGUGAGCUGGAUCCCAUCCUCUGUGACAGGCUCACCUUGUCAGAAGCUCUGCUUCACUGUCAUUAGAAAGACCUUCUGUAACAAUCUACAAUGGCCGCCUCCCACACCAUUGCUGUCUGUCCCCUUAGCCUGUUUGACUUUUCUUCAAGGCACUUCAUCAUGACCCGAAAUGAUACUAUACAUUUACUUAUCUCCUUCCUUAGAACCGAGGUUGGCAAACGGUGGCUUGAGGGCCAAAUCUGCCAUCUGUUUUAAUAAAACUUUAUUGGAACACAGCCAUAGCCAUUUUUUGUCCUUUUAGGAUAGCUUUGGCACUUAUCAUGGUGGAGUUACGUAGUCAUGACAGAGACUCCAUGGGGCACAAAACCUGACAUAGUUAUUACCUGACCCUUUAUAGAAAGAGUUGGCCAACCCCUGCACUAGAAUAUAAACUCCCCACAGGAAAGUGCUUUGUUUUGUUCCCACUGCGCCCGUCGUGCCUGGAAGAACAUGGGUGGGGCACUUAAAAGAGGCUCAGUAAGUAUUUGCUGAAGAAAGAGAAAAUGGACAAAUGGAUGGAUUACCUGUGGCACCGCCUCAUUCACGCUCUCUGAUUCAGCCUUCUGUUCUCAUCAGUUUUACUUCUAUUUCCAUAAACUGUCCUCCAACUUCUGUCUUUUUCUUCAUGUUUAUCAAAUUUACAACUGGAGGAAAAGCCCUAGAAAUGGCUAACAAACUUUGGAAAUGUGAGGGUGACAUCAGAGAAUUGGAGAAAGGGGGUGGCAAUAGCAUUAAAAGUCUGCCCACUUUUUCUUUGCUAGUACCUGUGUAUAGUGUUCAUUUUGGAACAAAAGCUACCAGGAAGGAACAAUAUUUCUUUUAACAGUUACUGUUCAGAACUGCUCGCCUAGCACACUGCUUGAUAGUCUUGGUUCUUUUUGUUGUUGUUUGAUAAUGUUGGCAUUUUUUAACCUUUUUUGUUUGUUUUUUUAACUCCAUAGUUUAUGGAGUUUGAUUUCUAUGGAGCAAUUCCCUUUUAUAUUUUGUCGACUGGACACUUUUUAUUAUUAACGUGUAAUAUGCUUACCCCACCUUCAAUUUUUGCUCAUGAGAUUUUAUUUAAAAAGUAAACUCUCAUGACACGUGCAGUCCAUUUGAUGUCACAAGUGAUCUAUGCUUGAAAUACUUUUCAUACUAACCUGGAGCUCUUGCCGAUAAAUGAGCUUUCUAUGUCCUCACUUAAAACAAAAAGAAGAAGAACAAAGCUCUCUGCUGGUUCUGAUUACUCCUAGGUGACUAAAACUCUUGUGAACCUGUGGAGUCUGGAAUGUACUGGCAGCGAAGAGCCCAGAUCACGGAUUGGAACGUUAGAGUGUGUUUUGGAAAUAAGAGGUUCAAGCUCGAAUGCGUCCAAAAAUAAUCUCGAGUGUGAGUUAUUGCUCCCUUAGAGGAACAUUUACAAUGCGUAGAAUCUGAUAUGUGACUCUGAAGAUAUAGUUAUCCAUGUGUUGUGAGUGGACGCGUCAAAUCUGUCCCAUCAGAGCUGUCCUGACAUGGUGACUUUUGUCAUUUGGUUCUAAUACCCACGAGACCUUCGUGGUCCCUCAGUCUACGCGAUUUGCUGCUGCCUUAUCAAUGGGUAGAAAUAAGGAUACUCAACCCUUUGCUCUGCCUCCAGCUCUGACCUUGUUCAUGUCAUCGGGUGCUGAGGUCCCCUGCUGACGGGUCUCUCACUCACAUUCAAGCUCACCUAGCCCUCCAUAGUGCCUUAGUUAUCAUUUAUUUGGGUCUGAUAAGUAGUGAUAAUGGCAGAGAAGCCUGAUGAAAGAUACUCAAUUCUGAAUAUCUAAAUACAUCCCUUAGUUUAUUUCAGAAUGUAAAAUAUGUAAAUAAUAAUGGUUUUGUCUUUAAUGGCAUCCCCAAGUAACUUUGAUGUAGCCAAGUUUUCUAAUUGCCAAGCCAGUUAAGAUAGUCAAGAGACUGGAAGAUAAGAUUAACCUACACCAUGUAAUGGAAGUGUAUUUAACUGUUGCUUUUUUGUUUUGUUUUGUUUUUUAGUUCCAGUAGAUUAUUUUUGCUUGUUUUUCAUAAAUCUCUGUCAUUGGGUACUCAAAAGAAACUUAAGUUUACAAAAUCUGCUAAGCUUAUUAAACACGUUUAUCAUUUUUUGGUGAAAUAGAGCCUGCAUAUUACAUGACAGCAUGGUAUAGUUGAAAGGAAUCAGUUCCCAGAAAUCACAAGACCUGGAAUUGCUUCUAUUGUGUGACAUUACCCAGGUCACAUGACUUCUCUGGGAUUUGGUUUCCUCAUCAGUAACAGGCGAGGGUUGAAUUAGGUGAUCUCUCUCCCCUUCCAGAUUAAUAGUCUCACUCUCUAUUUUAGGGGCUCUGGGAAUGUGUGUUGUGGAAAGAAUUCACAAGCUGGAAUCCAGGUCUAUAAUCCUACUUCCCUGUUUUUAUUGCUUGCUCAAUAAUCUCUUCAAAAUGAGGAUAAAAUGAAAUUUAUUUAGCUGAUUCAUCUUUUGUUAUUCCAAAGGCACACCCACCCAUGGGGUCAGUGAGGAAAUGUUCAAACAUUUGUAAACAAUCAGCUGUCCUAAUGUGAGGGCCUGCUCAGCCGACUCCUCAACAGGCAAUGCUUUGUUGCUUCAGGCAGAAAGAGUGGAGAAGCUAAUGGUGCUGACUCAUUGCUGUGUGAAUCUCAGCGCAUUGAUUCAAACGCUUCGACUCUGUGUGAGGCUGAUCACCAAGCAGGGUGAUCGGGCACCUUGUCUCAGUGGCACAAACUGGGAAGGGCAGCCUGGUGGACUGGAUGCCCAGACGGAGCUUGCUGCCAGAAACAACUUAGAAUGUUGGUUGGAAAUAAA